CCAAAGUUUUGCUUAUAAGUAAUAGGAAGGAAAUGGAUCCUUAAAAGUUCUUAGUACUAACCUAACUAGUUUUAAUUAUAGGGUUUAUUAAAUAUAUGUAAACAUUAGACAGGUAUAAACUCCUUGUUUUUGUAGCUGAUAUAUACUUUAACAUCAAAAGAAAAUUAGAAAUUUGAUAGAAAAAAACUACAAAAGGCAUAGGACAACCCCUCCCCCCCCAACACACACACAGGUUUGCUGUACUUGGUGACAACCUGACUUCCCAUAUGCCUUGUGACAUCCAUGUCCUCAAUAUCUUUCUUCACUGACUCUAAGAAAUCUUCAUGUGUACAGAAUGGACUGAUUUCACUUAGUCUUUACUUAAGAUGUUCAAAUCCAUAUACUUUUGUUUUUAUCUCAUCAACUUAGGAUCAUCAGAAUAGAACCAUUAAAAUAAUCAGAAAUGCAAUGCAAAUAUGGCCAAUGAAAUCACGUGGCAAUCUCAUAAUGCAGCCACCUCAGUGAUCCAGAGUAUGCCAGUAUCCGUGAUUUACUUUGGUCACCAAAAUAAAAACAGAAUGUACCAACCCUGGAAGAGAACUAAUAGGAUAAGCCUGAGCUCUUAGUUCUUAAUCACAUUUAAUUAGCAGGCUUGCAAUUUGAAAACACACACCUGUUUGUCUCUCCGUUUUUAAUGUAUUUGAGAACUUUUGAGAUUUGCAGUUUGAUGGUUCUUGUACAACUUGGGUGAACUCAGAAAUUAAACUACUCAUCAGAUCUCUCAAGAGUUGAAGUACAUGUUUGGUUAGCAAUAGGCUAGAGUAAAAUGACUCAAGUUCAAACUUGGUCUCAAAGCUGAUGUUCCAGACAGCUUGGGAUCUUUUCCUUCUGUAAAUUCAGAGUAUUUUGUAGUCAAGAAGGACAGAAGACAUAUUUUUAUUGGUUCUAGUAAAUAGCAUAUAACAAUAACUUAAAUAGCAUACUCAUAGCCAGAUUCAUAUUCUUUGAUGUCAGAGUAAAACAAUGCUGUGUUAGUUUGGUUUUAUUUUAUCAUUAUGUUUUAUGAUCAUGUAUCUCUACCUGGUGCUAUGGAAUAAAUGAAAUGCCUUAAGA
rnacentral:lncRNA from 1 species